GGUAAGAGCCGCGUCAUGUUGGGACCAUGCUGCGCUGUGACGGGAGCUGGUCACGUGGGAGGCAACGUAUUUUCGGAGCCUCUCGAGGACCAGCGCAUACAGCGCGAGAUGCCGGGGAAAGAAGCUCAAGCAAGGUAACACUCCUAAGAGAUGGACAGUGAAUGAGAUAUGGACAGUGAAUGCUGCCCUCCGCUGAGCUUAUGGGAGACUGCUGAAUAGAAUACCCGCAGCUGUUUGUGAGGCCGAUGGCGGCACCGGCCAGGCCACACAUAACCAAGGCCCUAGGAGGACAGGGUGCACCUAAUAGAUCUCCGGGAGAUUGCUUACUGGUACGCUGAACAGGUUGGGGAGUUAUGGCACCCAAAAGACACCCAGGAAACAGCCCAGUCAGAGAAAAAGAGAAAUCAAACUCGGGAAAGCUGGACAAACUCUGGAGCUCUCCAUCUGCUAAUAAUAGUAACAAAGGCCCUUCUCCAAUAAAAAAAUAAGUUGGGCUCAAAAUAUGAAGUGUUAAACUGAGAUGAGGGAGAGAGUGAGAAACUGCUUAAUGACCAGAUGUUACAAAAUAUUCUCAUCGAGUUACAGCAAUGCAAUGCAGGGCUUAGAGACUUGGCCACCCAGAUGGGAGCUUUAUCCAGCAAAGUCUCCUUUAUUCGGGACGAUCUUAACAAAAUCAGAGAGAGGGUGAUGACGAUAGAAAAAUAUGUACCUGAAACUAAAUCCAAAGUGGACCUGGCUAAAACUACAACAGAUAAACUGUCCGAGGAAAACUCUCUAUUAACCCCUUAAGGACACAUGUGUCCGCUCCCGAUCUAUAACGCAGGGCAACGGCCGGGACCCGUGGCUAAUAGCGCGCGGCAUUGAUCGCGGUGCCGCGCGCUAUUAACCCUUUAGACGCGGCGUUCAAAGUUGAACGCCCAUCUAGAGUGAAAGUGAAAGCAUGCCGGUUAGCUCAGUGGGCUGUUUGGGAUAGCCGCGGCGAAAUCGCGGCAUCCCGAACAGCUUACAGGACAGCAGAGGGUCCCUACCUGCCUCCUCGCUGUCUGAGAUCCAGGCAUGAGCAG